GGCGCUUCGGGAGGGGCCUGCGUCCGAUUAGCUCGUUGGUGGGGUAAUGGCUCACCAAGGCGACGAUCGGUAGGUGGUCUGAGAGGACGAUCACCCAGACUGGGACUGAGACACGGCCCAGACUCCUACGGGAGGCAGCAGUCGGGAAUUUUGCUCAAUGGGCGCAAGCCUGAAGCAGCAACGCCGCGUGAGGGAUGAAGGCCUUCGGGUUGUAAACCUCUUUUUCCAGGGACGAUGAUGACGGUACCUGAAGAAUAAGUCACGGCUAACUACGUGCCAGCAGCCGCGGUAAUACGUAGGUGACCAGCGUUGUCCGGAUUUACUGGGCGUAAAGAGCGCGCAGGCGGUCGUUCAAGUCGAGUGUGAAAGCCCCCGGCUCAACUGGGGAGGGUCAUUCGAUACUGAUCGACUUGAAGGCAAGAGAGGGAAGCGGAAUUCCCGGUGUAGUGGUGAAAUGCGUAGAUAUCGGGAGGAACACCAGUGGCGAAGGCGGCUUCCUGGCCUGUUCUUGACGCUGAGGCGCGAAAGCUAGGGGAGCAAACGGGAUUAGAU
rnacentral:rRNA from 1 species